rfam:Pseudomonas tuomuerensis strain JCM 14085 PT85_4, whole genome shotgun sequence.
CCUGGGCGACUCCACCGUCUGCCCGCUGCCGGGCCACGACAGCACGCCGAUCAACGCCGGCUCGCCGGAUGU